GGCAUUUAUACCUAUAUGCAAGGGUACCUAUAUCUGGUGGUGAUGAUACACAGUGAUAAUUAACCAUUUUUUUCUUCUUUUUGUUUAAUUUUGAAAAAAAAUGGAAUUUAAACUUUUUUCAGCAUUUUGGAAAAAAAUAAUUUUGUAAAUUUUUCAUGUUUUUUUCAUUUAUUUUAUAAGAAUUAAAUUUUAAAAAUUUUUUUUUUUUUAAAUAUUCAAUUAUUUUUUUUUAAUUUUUGAAAAAUUUGAUUUUUUUGAAAUAUUUUG
rnacentral:lncRNA from 1 species